AUUGAACGCUGGCGGCAUGCUUUACACAUGCGAGUCGAACGGUAACAGGCCGCAAGGUGCUGACGAGUGGCGAACGGGUGAGUAAUGCAUCGGAACGUGCCCAGUCGUGGGGGAUAACUACUCGAAAGAGUAGCUAAUACCGCAUACGAUCUAUGGAUGAAAGCGGGGGACCGUAAGGCCUCGCGCGAUUGGAGCGGCCGAUGUCAGAUUAGGUAGUUGGUGGGGUAAAGGCUCACCAAGCCAACGAUCUGUAGCUGGUCUGAGAGGACGACCAGCCACACUGGGACUGAGACACGGCCCAGACUCCUACGGGAGGCAGCAGUGGGGAAUUUUGGACAAUGGGCGCAAGCCUGAUCCAGCAAUGCCGCGUGCAGGAAGAAGGCCUUCGGGUUGUAAACUGCUUUUGUACGGAACGAAACGGCUCUGGUUAAUACCCGGGGCUAAUGACGGUACCGUAAGAAUAAGCACCGGCUAACUACGUG
rnacentral:rRNA from 1 species